CUGCUUUUGGCUAGUACUCUAGCUAGGCUGGUACUUUGACUCUUGUCUAGUACCCCAACUUGGCUAGUACUCCAGCUCGGUUAGUACUUCAGCUCUUGACUAGUACUUUUUCUCUUGGCUAGUACUUCUGCUAGGCUAGUUGUCCAGCUUGGCUAGUACUUUUGCUUUAGGUUAGUGUCACGUAUUCAUCCGCUUAUAAAAAUGUGGUUAAUGACAUUUACUGUCCACACAGGAAAAGUUGUGCCGAGCAGCAAC